GGUUUGUUCACACAGCUGUUCGGCUGAAUGAAAACUGUGGUGACAAAUUACUGUUGAACAAAGCAGAUGUCCACAGGUCGCGUUCACUCUUUCACCACGCCUGAACUUGUUUUUCGGAGACCAACUUCCCGUGUGGCUCUGUGGCUCCGGGCGGCAGCAGUGCCAGGUAGACUGGAGUGAUAGCGCCCUCGUCUGGUGACUUGGGGGCUUUCGGACCGGCCAUGUCAGUGCGCACCCAGCCUGGACAGCAGGGGUUCAGCAGGAUCUGUGAAAAUAAACCAAAAUGUAUGCAAGCAGUGAGGCUGAUUUGUUUCUGAUGAUAACAUGUCCACCGCGUUCAAGAUUAAUUGAAGCCAAUGGAAACACAAAACUGGAUUUAAAAGCCUGCAAGCUCGUU